rnacentral:rRNA from 1 species
GAAUCUGUGAACGGCUCAUUAUAAAUCGUGUACGAAAUCGAGCGCUGCGGGGCGUAACCACUGUAACUCGGUGGCUAAAACCUUGAAGGGCUUUUUGUUAAGCAAAAUCCUUAGGGGCACUCGAGACGGCACGAAAUCCAUCAGCUAGACCGUCGGGUAGAGGCCGACGGUGGCAAUCACGGGUAACGGGGGAUUAGGGUUCGAUUCCGGAGAGGGAGCCUGAGAAACGGCUACCACAUCUAAGGAUGGCAGCAGGCGCGUAAAUUACCCACUCUUUAGGAAGGAGGGUAGUCACUGAGCGUGGCGGGCGCAUUAUGUGUCUUCGCAAUGGAUUACAUUUUAAAGAUGUUUUCGCAUCACGGGAGGGCAAGUCUGGUGCCAGCAGCCGCGGUAAUUCCAGCUCCUGUAGAGUAUACUGGUGUUGCUGCAGUUGAAGAGCCCGUAGCAUGGGCUCCCGCUUGUGGUGAACGGGUCUUGUUCAUCGAGGCCUUGUCCACAAUAUCGGGAGCACUAUACAAGCGACGCGAGUCAGCCGAAUGCAGAGGCGAGAGGUGAAAUUCUUGGACCCUCUGUGGGCGAACUAGAGCGAAGGCAGGUGGCUGUGUCGUGUUGGUUUGCCAAGGGCGAAGGUUGGGGUAUCGAAGAUGAUUAGAUACCAUCGUAGUCCCAACAUUAAACGAUGCCAUCCAUUCGUGUGCCGGACAACCGGUGCGCGAUCAGGAGAAAUCUGAGACUUUGGGUCCUGGGGGGAGUAUGGUCGCAAGACUGAAACUUAAAGGAAUUGACGGAAGGGCACCACCAGGAGUGGAGCUUGCGGCUUAAUUCGACUCAACGCGAGGAACCUUACCAGGCCAGGACAUUUCCGUGAGAGACACAUGAGGAUUUGUAUCUUGAUUCUAUGGGUGGUGGUGCAUGGCCGUUCUUAGUCGGUGGGUCGACCUGUCUGGUUUAUUCCGAUAACGGACGAGACCUUGGGAGCUGACCAAUCGAUACAGCCUACUGCGGGAGCUAAUCUCGAGGGAGGUCAGGGUUAAAACAGGUCCGUGAUGCCCUUAGAUGGCCUGGGAAGCACGUGUGCUACAGUCUGCACGCCAACGUCUUUGCGCUUGCGCUGCCUGAACGUGUGGAUCGUUGGGAUCGGGAUGGGUAGACAUCCCGUGAACUUGGAAUUCCUUGUAAUCGCGUCUCACCAUGGCGCGGUGAAUAGGUCCCUGCCCUUUGAACACACCGCCCGUCGCUUCAACCGAUUGGGUGGGUCGACGAGUGCUUCGACGAAAAGUUGUAGUGCGAGUCUACCCAUCUAGAGGAUGAAGAAGUCGUAACAAGGUAACC